rnacentral:rRNA from 1 species
AGUUGAGCGACGAACCGGGGCUUGCCCCGGGGCAAAGCAGCGAACGGGUGAGUAACACGUGGGUAACCUGCCCCGACGACCGGGACAACCCGAGGAAACUCGGGCUAAUACCGGAUGUGCCCUCUGGCCUCAAGGCCAGCGGGUAAAGGAAGCUUCCGCCUCCGCGUUGGGGGGGGCCCGCGGCCCAUUAGCUAGUUGGUGAGGUAACGGCUCACCAAGGCUGCGAUGGGUAGCUGGUCUGAGAGGACGAUCAGCCACACUGGGACUGAGACACGGCCCAGACUCCUACGGGAGGCAGCAGUGGGGAAUCUUGCGCAAUGCGCGAAAGCGUGACGCAGCAACGCCGCGUGGGGAAGAAGGCCUUCGGGUUGUAAACCCCUUUCAGGAGGGACGAAGGUUCGGCGGUGAAUAGCCGUCCGGACUGACGGUACCUCCAGAAGAAGCUCCGGCUAACUACGUGCCAGCAGCCGCGGUAAUACGUAGGGGGCAAGCGUUGUCCGGAAUCAUUGGGCGUAAAGCGCGCGUAGGCGGCCCGGUAAGUCCGCUCUGAAAGUCCAGGGCUCAACCCUGGAAAGCGGGUGGAUACUGCCGGGCUAGAGUCCGGAAGAGGCGAGUGGAAUUCCUGGUGUAGCGGUGGAAUGCGCAGAUAUCAGGAGGAACACCUAUAGCGAAGGCAGCUCGCUGGGACGGUACUGACGCUGAGGCGCGAAAGCGUGGGGAGCGAACAGGAUUAGAUACCCUGGUAGUCCACCCCGUAAACGAUGGGCACUAGGUGUGGGAGGUGUC